AGGCCGUACAGCACACUGCUCACUGGUCACUGGGACGAAGGAUAAACCGAAAAUUCACUUCUCUCCAUGACAAGCUUUUAUAAUGUUCGGUCGAUCCGCUACAUUGAAAGAUGAGUACUUGGCUAUUUUUUGGCAGGGGUAACGAAGUAUAUCGGCUGUUCUCUAAGUGUUUCUUAAUGCGUUGGCCAUCGGAAUAUAAUAUAACUACAUAACUCAUAAGCUUGAUAGAUAUGUGACGAGUUUCACAGGC